GAUGAAGAACGUAGCGAAAUGCGAUACUUGGUGUGAAUUGCAGAAUCCCGUGAACCAUCGAGUCUUUGAACGCAAGUUGCGCCCGAAGCCAUUAGGCCGAGGGCACGCCUGCCUGGGCGUCACACGUCGUUGCCCCCCCAUCUACUCCUUCGGGAUUGCGGGGGGCGGAUGAUGGCCUCUCGUGCGCCUCGUCGCGCGGUUGGCCUAAAUGCCAAGUCCUCGGCGACGCACGCCACGACAAUCGGUGGUUGCGAAACCUCGGUUGCCUGUCGUGUGCGGUCGUCGCGCAUCGAGGGCUCGAAAAAAUUGCCGGGCUUCGGCUCGACUUUCAACGCGACCCUAGGUCAGGCGGGGUUACCCGCUGAAUUUAAGCAUAUCAAUAAGCGGAGGA
rnacentral:misc_RNA from 1 species